rnacentral:rRNA from 1 species
AGAGUUUGAUCAUGGCUCAGAAUCAACGCUGGCGGCGUGCCUCAGACAUGCAAGUCGAACGAUUAAACUUUCCUUCGGGAAAGAUAUAGAGUGGCGCACGGGUGAGUAACACGUAAGUAAUCUACCUUCGAGUGGGGAAUAACCCGGGGAAACCCGAGCUAAUACCGCAUAAUGCAGCGGCAUCGCAAGAUGACAGUUGUUAAAGGAGCAAUCCGCUUGAAGAGGAGCUUGCGGCAGAUUAGCUAGUUGGUAAGGUAACGGCUUACCAAGGCUACGAUCUGUAUCCGGCCUGAGAGGGCGGUCGGACACACUGACACUGAAUAACGGGUCAGACUCCUACGGGAGGCAGCAGUCGGGAAUUUUGGGCAAUGGGCGAAAGCCUGACCCAGCAACGCCGCGCGAAGGAUGAAGUAUUUCGGUAUGUAAACUUCGAAAGAAUGGGAAGAAUCAAUGGCGGUACCAUUUAUAAGCUCCGGCUAACUACGUGCCAGCAGCCGCGGUAAUACGUAGGGAGCAAGCGUUGUUCGGAUUUACUGGGCGUAAAGGGCGCGUAGGCGGCAAUUCAAGUCAUCUGUGAAAUCUCCGGGCUUAACUCGGAACGGUCAGAUGAUACUGCUUUGCUAGAGUGCAGAAGGGGCAAUCGGAAUUCUUGGUGUAGCGGUGAAAUGCAGAUAUCAAGAGGAACACCUGAGGUGAAGACGGGUUGCUGGGCUGACACUGACGCUGAGGCGCGAAAGCCAGGGGAGCAAACGGGAUUAGAUACCCUAGUAGUCC